rnacentral:lncRNA from 1 species
CGAGACCGGGGGCCGGAGCUGCGGCGCGGGCGGGGCUCCAGAUCGGACCCCUGCGGCCUGCGCUCUCCUCGGCGCUUGCUCCUCGGCCGCUUCGCCGUCUGAAGCAGAGGCGAAAACCGUGCACGGAAACCUCAGCCCAAGGCCUCAGAUAAAGAGACCUGGAAAUGGAAGAUGGCGCUGUGAGUAGUCCUCUUUGUCUCUCGCCCUUCGAGUCUACAAUUAUUUGGACACUUAUCGCUUGACAAAGGAUAUCCAGACAGCAUCUCAGGACGUCUGAGACACCCACGCGACUAUACAUCGGAAGGCGGAUGGACUUUCCUCCGGGAGGAUGUGGAAAUAGGUGAAAACUCUCCGACCCCGACGGGCAGCCUAGUACCCGCAAGUGGCUUUCUUCCAACGGACGCCCCCAGAGGAUCCACACACAUCUAGGGCAGGAGCGAGAACACAACAGGGGAGCGACGGUGGAAACAGGACUACUUUUGGUCAUUUGUCAAAGCUGACCGGUCACGUCUACAGUCUCCUGCUCUGUACUCACAUCUCAAGCCGCUGUCCUUUCAGCACGGUGCUGGGGAGGCAGGAUUCUGGAACUGGAUUACCCAGAUUCAAGUCUCAGCCUCUGCCAUUGGCUGAGGAGCCUCGGGUAAGUCAUUGAGCUUCUAUGUCCCCCAGUUUCCUCAUCUGUAAAGCAGGGAUAAUAAUAUGUGUUCAUAAGUAUAUGUUUGUUGCUAAUAAUAUAAGUAUGUAAGUAAUAAGUAUAUGUUUGUUAUGAGAAUUGAGUUAAUAUAUGUAAAGAAUUCAGAACAGUGUUUGGCACCUAAAAAGUAUUACAUAAGUGUUGGUUACUGUCUUUUGUGACUGAUAUAUAUAUAUUUUUUAUUGAAAUCAAAUUCACAUAACAUCAAAUUAACCAUUUAAAAAUGUACAGUGAAGUAGCACUUAUUAUGUUCACAAUGUUGUGAACUCAAUCUAGUUCCAAGAUAUUUUGAUCACUCACGAGGGAGACCACAUACCCGUUAAGCAGUCACUUCCCAUUCUUUCCUCCCCCCAGCCCCUGGCACACAUCAAUCUGCUUUUUGUCUCUAUAAAUUUAACUGUUCUGGAUAUUCAUAUAAACAGAAUCACAAUAUAUGACCUUUUAUGUGUGGAUUCUUUCAUUUAGCAUGAUGUUUUCAAAGUUCAUUCACAUUAGAGCAUGUGUUAGUACUAGAUUCCUUUGUAUGGCUGAAUAACAUGUCG